GAAACGACUGCUAAGACUGGAUAGGAGAUAAGAAGGCAUCUUUUUAUUUUUAAAAGACCUAGCAAUAGGUAUGCUUAGGGAAGAGCUUGCGUCACAUUAGUUAGUUGGUGGGGUAAUGGCCUACCAAGACGAUGAUGUGUAGCCGGGCUGAGAGGUCGAACGGCCACAUUGGGACUGAGACACGGCCCAAACUCCUACGGGAGGCAGCAGUAAGGAAUUUUCGGCAAUGGAGGAAACUCUGACCGAGCAAUGCCGCGUGAACGAUGAAGUAUUUCGGUACGUAAAGUUCUUUUAUUAGGGAAGAAAAGAUGGUGGAAAAACCAUUAUGACGGUACCUAAUGAAUAAGCCCCGGCUAACUAUGUGCCAGCAGCCGCGGUAAUACAUAGGGGGCAAGCGUUAUCCGGAAUUAUUGGGCGUAAAGGGUGCGUAGGCGGUUAAAUAAGUUUAUGGUCUAAGUGCAACGCUCAACGUUGUGAUGCUAUAAAAACUGUUUAGCUAGAGUUGGAUAGAGGCAAGUGGAAUUCCGUGUGUAGUGGUAAAAUGCGUAAAUAUACGGAGGAACACCAGAAGCGAAGGCGGCUUGCUGGGUCUUAACUGACGCUGAGGCACGAAAGCGUGGGGAGCAAACAGGAUUAGAUACCCUGGUAGUCCACGCCCUAAACGAUGAGUACUAAACGUUGGAUAAAACCAGUGUUGAAGUUAACACAUUAAGUACUCCGCCUGAGUAGUACGUACGCAAGUAUGAAACUUAAAGGAAUUGACGGGACUCCGCACAAGCGGUGGAUCAUGUUGUUUAAUUCGAAGGUACCCGAAAAACCUCACCAGGUCUUGACAUGCUUUUGCAAAGCUGUAGAAAUACAGUGGAGGUUAUCAGAAGCACAGGUGGUGCAUGGUUGUCGUCAGCUCGUGUCGUGAGAUGUUGGGUUAAGUCCCGCAACGAGCGCAACCCUUGUUGUUAAUUGCCAUCAUUAAGUUGGGGACUUUAGCAAGACUGCCAAUGAUAAAUUGGAGGAAGGUGGGGACGACGUCAAAUCAUCAUGCCCCUUAUGACCUGGGCUACAAACGUGAUACAAUGGCUGUUACAAAGGGUAGCUAAAGCGUAAGCUUCUGGCGAAUCUCAAAAAAGCAGUCUCAGUUCGGAUUGAAGUCUGCAACUCGACUUCAUGAAGUUGGAAUCGCUAGUAAUCGCGAAUCAGCAUGUCGCGGUGAAUACGUUCGCGGGGUUUGUACACACCGCCCGUCA
rnacentral:rRNA from 1 species